rnacentral:rRNA from 1 species
AGAGGGGAAAGAUUUAUCGCUGAAGGAGCGGCCCGCGUCUGAUUAGCUAGUUGGUGAGGUAAUGGCUCACCAAGGCGACGAUCAGUAGCUGGUCUGAGAGGAUGAUCAGCCACACUGGGACUGAGACACGGCCCAGACUCCUACGGGAGGCAGCAGUGGGGAAUAUUGGACAAUAGGGGCAACCCUGAUCCAGCCAUGCCGCGUGAGUGAUGAAGGCCUUAGGGUUGUAAAACUCUUUUGUCCGGGAAGAUAAUGACUGUACCGGAAGAAUAAGCCCCGGCUAACUUCGUGCCAGCAGCCGCGGUAAUACGAAGGGGGCUAGCGUUGUUCGGAAUCACUGGGCGUAAAGCGCACGUAGGCGGAUUGUUAAGUCAGAGGUGAAAUCCCGGAGCUCAACUUCGGAACUGCCUUUGAUACUGGCAAUCUUGAGUCUGGAAGA